rnacentral:rRNA from 1 species
ACUCAAAGGAAUAGACGGGGACCCGCACAAGCGGUGGAACAUGUGGUUUAAUUCGAUGCUACGCGAAGAACCUCACCAGGGCUUGACAUACAAGAAGUAGUGAACUGAAAGGGGAACGACCUGUUAAGUCAGGAGCUUGUACAGGUGCUGCAUGGCUGUCGUCAGCUCGUGUCGUGAGAUGUUGGGUUAAGUCCCGCAACGAGCGCAACCAUUGCUCCAUGUUGCUAAUUUCGUUAACUAGCUUGCUAGUUGCGAAAUGCACUCUUGGAGGACUGCCCGGGAUAACCGGGAGGAAGGUGGAGAUGACGUCAAGUCAGUACGGCCUUUAUGCCCUGGGCUACACACGUGUUACAAUGGGCGGUACAGAGGGUUGCCAACCCGCGAGGGGGAGCUAAUCUCAAAAAACCGUCCUCAGUUCGGAUAGGAGUCUGCAAUUCGGCUCCUUGAAGCCGGAAUCGCUAGUAAUGGGAGAUCAGCUCGCUCCCGUGAAUACGUUCCCGGGUCUUGUACACACCGCCCGU